CAAAAAGAAAAAAAGAAAAAAGAAAGGAAAAUGCAAGAGAAGCACACCUAAAAAGACGAAUGCUAAUGUUUGAGAAACGAUCCAAAAGAAAAUGGCAUGAAAGAAAAGAUAGUUUACAAAAUAAAAUUACCCAGGCUAGGAAAAAAAGCAGGGAUAGAAUGGCAAUAACUCAUGACUGCUCUUUUUUGCAUUCACUUGGUACAAGUAUAAACUUUUAUGCGUCAAGAGAUAUCGAUGUUGACAUGGGCCAUUCCUUUGGAGAAACUAGGUUGAACAUAAGUACAGAUGAUACUUUGGUAGAAGAUGGGUCCAAUUGUUGUGUUGCUCCUCAAGGAAUCCAUGGGUCAGAAAAUGAGUGGUUGUGAAGAAUUUCCAAGUAAAUGACUUGACUUAAAUUUACAAGGAAAAAAAAAAAAAACUUGACUUCCAUUUUUGUUCAUGUUAUUAAUGUUGUCCCCAUAUUUUAAAAUUCAUAUGGGAAAAUUAACUGAACCUUGGAAUUUUGGCUCACCUUAUGUAUGUGUGUAUUGUGGUUCAAUUUAUGGUAUGAAGAGAGAACAGUAAAAUCUAAGAAGCCUAAGAACUCAAAAUUCUCUCUCUAUUGUAUCUAUUUAAUUGUUAGUCUCUAUCUUUCAUA